rnacentral:tRNA from 1 species
GGAGGAUUGGCCGAGUGGUAAGGCACCGGCUUGGGCUCAAGCCGUGGUCGGGUGAGAGCCCGCGCACGUUCGAUCCGUGCAUCCUCCG